GCAAUCCUGCCUGGGUGACUGAGAGAGACCUCAUCUCUAAAAAAAAUUUAAAAACAAAAAAAUAAAGCAUUUGCUACAGAGAGGCGUUGUUACCAGCCUGACCUUGAUCUCUGGAACCAGAUCGCCUGGGUCCCCAUCCUGGAUUUGCCACUGUGUCGUCUGGCAAAUUACGUCACCUCUCUGUGCCUCAGUUUCUUCGUGGGGAUAAGAGUAUCCACAUUUUAGACUGCUGAGAACAGCGUCUGGCACACAGUAGGUGCUCAGUAAGUGCGGCUCUUGUUAUAUUCGCAUUCAUUUACUCGUUCAGCCACAGACUUCCAAGUGUCGCUGUCGUGCUAGGAGAUCGCAUCUCUGGAAAUAGUCUCGACUGGAGCGGGUCAUGGGGUUGGUGCCACUUGGAAUACGAAACUGAGCCUCGGGUUCUUUAUUUGUGAAACAGCCGGUGGUGACGCCUGGCGGUGGCGGGAGGGAUAACCGCGACCUCCACUCGA
rnacentral:lncRNA from 1 species